AAUUUGAGGAACAAACUCUAAUUACUCAAAGUUAUGAGGCCGGUUUCUUUUCUCAAACAUUUUAAAGCCAGGUUUCUCCCACGCUAUACCAUCCACCCUGCUUCUACGCCAAACUCCACCACCGCCCGCUGCCUCCACUGCCGUCGCCUGAGUUUCUCGCCGACGUCCCUCAUCUCUCUCACUGCUGGUUCCGCUGCUCUCUUCUCUCAUCCAGAAAACUCUAAAGGACCAAAUAUUUCCAUAAAAUUCUUUCAAGUUCUCUGAUAAAUUCGUAUCAUCAAUGUCAACUCGUCGCCGUCCCUUUCUCUCAGUCAUCGUUAUCAACAAUAGUGGGAUUGGGUAGAUUACUUGCUGGCUUGCUGGAGAUGAGGGUCUUGCUCAACUAAGUGGUAUGCAGUCGUGGCUUAGGAUAGGGGUGCAGGAGGAUAAAGAAAAUAGCAUCGUAUUUUUAGAUUUAUAUUUUUAAAUGAUAUUUUGUUGCUCAUUUUAAUAAUUCGUCAUUUACUUAUUUUGAUGUAAAGUCAUGUCGACAUUUUUGAGAGGUACUAAUUAUGUAAUUAUUUAUA